rnacentral:rRNA from 1 species
GUGCCAGCAGCCGCGGUAAUACGUAGGUGGCAAGCGUUGUCCGGAAUUAUUGGGCGUAAAGCGCGCGCAGGCGGCUUCCUAAGUCCAUCUUAAAAGUGCGGGGCUUAACCCCGUGAUGGGAUGGAAACUGGGAAGCUGGAGUAUCGGAGAGGAAAGGUGGAAUUCCUAGUGUAGCGGUGAAAUGCGUAGAGAUUAGGAAGAACACCGGUGGCGAAGGCGACUUUCUGGACGAAAACUGACGCUGAGGCGCGAAAGCGUGGGGAGCAAACAGGAUUAGAUACCCUGGUAGUCC